rnacentral:rRNA from 1 species
AUUGAACGCUGGCGGCAGGCCUAACACAUGCAAGUCGAGCGGAUGAAGGGAGCUUGCUCCUGGAUUCAGCGGCGGACGGGUGAGUAAUGCCUAGGAAUCUGCCUGGUAGUGGGGGAUAACGUCCGGAAACGGGCGCUAAUACCGCAUACGUCCUGAGGGAGAAAGUGGGGGAUCUUCGGACCUCACACUAUCAGAUGAGCCUAGGUCGGAUUAGCUAGUUGGUGGGGUAAAGGCCUACCAAGGCGACGAUCCGUAACUGGUCUGAGAGGAUGAUCAGUCACACUGGAACUGAGACACGGUCCAGACUCCUACGGGAGGCAGCAGUGGGGGAUAUUGGACAAAGGGCGAAAGCCUGAUCCAGCCAUGCCGCGUGUGUGAAGAAGGUCUUCGGAUUGUAAAGCACUUUAAGUUGGGAGGAAGGGCAGUAAGUUAAUACCUUGCUGUUUUGACGUUACCAACAGAAUAAGCACCGGCUAACUUCGUG